rnacentral:rRNA from 1 species
CUGCAUGGCGUGUCGUCAGCUCGUGUCGUGAGAUGUUGGGUUAAGUCCCGCAACGAGCGCAACCCUUGCCUUUAGUUGCCAGCAGUCCGGCUGGGCACUCUAAAGGGACUGCCGGGUGUUAAACCGGAGGAAGGUGGGGAUGACGUCAAGUCCUCAUGGCCUUUAUGACCAGGGCUACACACGUACUACAAUGGCCGAUACAAAGGGCAGCGACACUGCGAGGUGAAGCCAAUCCCGUAAAAUCGGUCUCAGUCCGGAUUGGAGUCUGCAACUCGACUCCAUGAAGUUGGAAUCACUAGUAAUCGUGGAUCAGCAUGCCACGGUGAAUACGUUCCCGGGCCUU